rnacentral:lncRNA from 1 species
GGCAAUCCCAAACAUCACAGAAGCUUUAGGGAUAGGCUUUCCUGGGGAGCCUGAAGACCCACCCCCUCACAGCACAGAGGAAAAGUGAGUGAGGAUGUCUACUGAGCACUUUCUAGAUGUUGUGAGAGACAAAAGAAGCACCUUGGGAGAUAAGACACAGCCCUUAAUAAUAACAGCAGCAGCAAGGCCAUUCAUGCAAAGGGGAACACAUGGAUUGCCACAACCCCAUUGGAAGCAUUUUUCCUUCUGUCAUCAGUAUCACGCUCUGUGGAGAGCCUCUUCCAGCCUCCAGAGGACAGGUUUUACAGGUUGCCGAGGAACUGGAUUGAUUUUGGAGAGCCUUGAAUGCCAUGUGGAGUUUGGACUUGAAGCUGAGAUUUUAAACAAUCCCGUGCUGCUGCUGACCCCAUGUUAGAUUUGCCUUGCCAUGUGAAAAAGAGCAACAUCCCACACUUGCCCGUCCUGCGCCCUUUCUUGCUUGAAGCUACAGCAACUCGCAAAACCUGUCAUCUGUCCUGGGCUGCAAGAGGCUUUGACUUUGCCUGUGCGUGGCCCCUGGAAGUCCAGAUGUUUUCACUGCAGGGGAAGGAGCUCAUUUGGGAAAAAAAAAAAAAAAAAAAAUCCAAUUGUUUGUAAUGUGAUGCAAUUUUCUCUUGAAAUCAAUUAGCAUCUCCCUAAUUCCUCUGCAUACAAUUGCUUUCAAAAAUAAAUUCCAGGUUCCAUGUUUUUUUAUGCAUUUUAUUUUUAAACAGGUUCAGACUUUAGCUUUUAAGUAGCUUAGGAUCCCAAAGCACAAACUCCUUCCUCACCACAGAUGUGAGGAUUUAUAUGUGAAAUUCCAGA